AGAGUUUGAUCCUGGCUCAGGACGAACGCUGGCGGCGUGCCUAAUACAUGCAAGUCGAACGGUAACAGGAAGCAGCUUGCUGCUUCGCUGACGAGUGGCGGACGGGUGAGUAACACGUGGGUAACCUGCCCAAGAGAAGGGGAUAACACCUGGAAACAGAUGCUAAUACCGUAUAACAACUAAAACCACAUGGUUUUAGUUUAAAAGAUGGCCUUUGUGCUGUCGCUCUUGGAUGGACCCGCGGUGCAUUAGCUAGUUGGUAAGGUAAAAGCUUACCAAGGCGAUGAUGCAUAGCAGACCUGAGAGGAUGACCAGCCACACUGGAACUGAGACACGGUCCAGACUCCUACGGGAGGCAGCAGUGGGGAAUAUUGCACAAUGGGCGCAAGCCUGAUGCAGCCAUGCCGCGUGUAUGAAGAAGGCCUUCGGGUUGUAAAGUACUUUCAGCGGGGAGGAAGGCGAUAAGGUUAAUAACCUUGUCGAUUGACGUUACCCGCAGAAGAAGCACCGGCUAACUCCGUGCCAGCCGCCGCGGUAAUAC
rnacentral:rRNA from 1 species